AAUAUCACUGAGAAAUCUAUGCACAAGUGCUCUCUCUGCUGAGAGACAAACCAAGACUCUGCUGUUCUGCUCAGCAUAGACCAAGAAGACAUGAAAUCCCUAAUGGAAGGAAACUUAGAAGAUUGCCUGCUGAAUAAGGUGGACUUGAGGCGCCAGUGGAUUUCCCAGACGGUGGAAGAGGUGCAGAAAAUUGUCCAUCGUCUGACCACAGAAAUCAGCUACCAAGACAUUCGAUUUCAAGCCGUCCUUUACUCUGACACGUACAAUGAGAACAUUAAGGUUUUGGCCCCCACCCAGCUCCUCAUCACAGUCCCCAUGAGAGGCCUGGCCGGGUACAAGGAGGCCCGGCAGCAGCGCUGGCGCUACUACACCCUGCAGGGCGCCCGGCUGCCCUGCCCCCUGCGGGACCCAGAGGGCCUGCAGCAGUGGCUGGAGGUGGAGCAGUUUCUGAAGAGCCUGUGGCAGUGGCACGAGGCAGAUGUGAACAUUGACGGAGACAUUGUGCCCGCCAAGGUCCUCCAGGUGUUCCGGAAACUGGUCGAAAACGCAAUUGAAACCUGUCACCUGUCAGGUAAGGUCAGCAUGCUAAUGGACCGCCCUGCAGUUCGAGUUGCCGUGGAAACCUCCACAGGUCGGGUGGAACUAGAGCUGACCCCCUCAGUGGAGAUCCCCACCACCUGGUCCAAGAAAGCCCGGUGGCCUUCGUGUCUGAAGCGCUGGCCUUCUGCAGAGAGAGUGCAGUGCAUCAAGUCAUUUGGGUUUAGCUUGUUGGCCUGUUCAAACUAUCACUGGCAGCUGAGCUUCUUGCGGGCUGAACGGGUGCUGCUGGAGCAGCUGGAUGAGGACGGGGGCUGCCGCAGGAAGUGUCUUCAGGCCAUGAGGCAGAUGAAGGAGGACGUCUGGUGUCCAGGGAAAAGACCUGUGAUCACAUCCUACCACCUUCAGACAGUGCUCUUCUGGACUUGUGAGAAGUAUCCCCACCCAAAGGACUGGCGGGUCUUCAGCAGGGCGUUCCUGCGCCUGGUAAGGAAGCUGCACAAGUGCGUGAGCCAGCACUUUCUGAAACACUACUUCGUGCGGAAGAGCAACCUCCUGCGGUACGCCAAUUCAGGCGAGCUGGGGGCCCUGGCCCAGAAGCUGGCCUUCUUCCUGCAGAACCCCCAGAUCAGCCUGCCCUGAUGCUGCCCUGCGUGGGACGCUCUUGGACAUUUCGUUCAAGCUUGACCUCACUCUCUGUGGCUUGUUCCUCAGUCAGAGGCCAGGAUCCUGCCCAGGAGAGAAGCAACGGACGGCAGAGGAAAAUUCCAUCAACCCAGGGGGGAAAACCUGUGCCCCAAGAUGUCUGGUCCAGGCCUCCCUGCAGCCAAGCAAGCAUUUCUGCCCCCACUAGCUACCUCUUUGGGAGACGGCUCUCAUCAAGCUUCCCCGAGCCAUAGUUUCCGAACCGAUGACAGUUCUGAAUUUAUUUUCCCUUGCUCAGGCUCUGGUUGUCUGUCAGGGAAGAUGUAGAGAGAACCCCCGGAAGGUCAGGUAUCAGCCUGCUGCCCACGAGUGGUUCUCCAGCCCACUGACCACGGGCUCAUUAUUUUUCCAUUUGUAAAAUGGGACUGUUCAUAUGCCUCCCUCAGAGCAGGGCUGCGAGCCUACGGACUGUGCUGCUGCCCUUUCAAGGGGAAGGUGCUGGAUCAACACAAAGUGUUCCUCGUUGGUUCAGUGGCUGGUGUUUGCUUUCAGGAUCAGUAUCUACACCACUGAUUAAAUGAUGACGUCUGAUGGGUUCGCAUGCCCGUGUGCCCUCCAGUUCUCCUAAACUGUGGAUCUUCCUGCUUCCCUGGUGUUCUCUGAGAAGGCAGGAGUGGUUUUGAUGACUAGUGCAGUCAAAGAUGAGAGCGCAGCAACCCCAGUGACUGCCCUUCCUUGCUUCCCAUGCCGUGGGUCAGGGAUGAGACGUCCUUCUAUUUAUGGAAUGAACUCGGUACUGUGAUCCGCAUGGAACGACUUUGGUGUCACUCACCUCUCAGUUCCUUCCUUUGCUCACUUAGCGAUUCACUUCCUCAUUCAUUGAUAAAUAUAUACGCAUUAGGUACUGGGGAUGCAGCAAGAGCAAGAUGGGCAGGGACUCACCUGAUGCAGAUGAUGCCUAAUGGUAAAGACAGGAAAUGAACAACAGAUAAACACAUUUGAUUAUUACAAAUUGUAGCAAGUGGCCUGAAGAAACAGAAUAUGGAAAUAGAGCCACAGAGAGAUCCUUGAAGGAUGAAAAUGCAAACAGCUGAAAGGGAAGAAAAGGGGGCCAAGGGCAGACUUAGAGGGGCUGGCAUGCCAGAUCGCUUGGCCUUGUAAACCCGGAGGCCCCCAUGAAGGAUCAAUUUCUCCUGGAUUCAUUCAGUCAGCAAGUAUUUACUGAGGAUCAACUGUGCCCCAAGUUCUGUUCUGGGCACUGAGAAUUUGGGGGCGAAUGAGGUAGGUGAGUUUCUGCUCCCAGGGAGCUUACUGUUGAGGGUGACAGAACACACACAAGCAAACAGACAAGAAAAUGAUCGAUUCUAAUAAGUACGGUGGGGGAACUCUUGGAGUCACCGGCCCUGAUUACAGUCUACUUGUAACGUGCUUAGUUGUCAUCAAACACUACCUGGUAAACCCUCUGAAGGAAGAAUCUGAGUCUCACUUCUCUUUGGAACUUCCAGGAUGCCAACAUCAUCCCUUCUGUGUAGUGGCCCCUCAGUGUGUGUUUGUGAAAGGAAGGAAAGAAGGAAGGAAGGACAGGAAGAAAGGAAGGGAGGAAAGAAGACAGGGAUUUGGAAAACAUUGAACAAAUACGCCUAGCCAGCAGUGGAGCUGUAUUUGUUAAAUUCACAGUAUGUUCUUAUCUUGCAUUUGUCAUCUUUGCAAUCCCUAGAGAUGGCUUUCGCUGAGAGAACCUAACUCCAGGUAGGAGAGGCGACAUAGGGCAGGGCAAGGGUGCUGUACAAACCCAGGAUUUCGUCCCUGCCUCACCACGUGACUCUGGAGAGUUUUGAGCAAGUUCCUUAAUCCCGCGGACCCUUAGCUUCCUCAAAAGGGGAUCAUAAAACCUGCCUCACAGAAAUGGAAAAUCAAAUAAGGCAGCAUGUGAGAAAUUGCUUCUUAAACUAAAGUACCCCAUAAUCUUGAAAUUAAUUCAGGAUUAUUCUAGGGCCUUGUACUGGCUUUCUUUGCAGAACACUAAGGCAGGCUAUCUGCCCCCCAAAGAAGAAAGCUUCUGGAUAUAGGGAUAUUUUAAAAUAUUAUUUCUAAAUCUACCUUUUUUUUUUUUUUUUUUUCCGACCCCACCUUGCGGGAUCAACUUAGUUCCCCAGUCAGAGAUUGAACCCAGGCCCUCAGCAGUAAAAGUGCAGAGUCCUAACCACUGAGCGCCAGGCAAUCCCCUAAAUCUACCAUUCUUGAUUCUUAAGGAAGAAAGAGUCCUGGGUUCCCAGGAUAACCUCAGGCUGCCUGAGAAGCAAUUGGGUUCUCUCUUACUCGUCCUUAAAACAUGUCCUCCCAGGGUUGUGCCUCCUCCAGCCAUUAGGAUUUGUUGCUUCAAGCACGGGUGCCACACAAUUGGCUUCCCUAAAAAGCAUGUCCCCGUGCCUCAUGCUCCCAAAAAACAAGGGGAAGUCAUCUCUUGCCCUUUGCUGUGAUUUGCUAGUGCUGGUAUAUGAAAUAUGGCUUGCCCGUACCCUCUGCUCACAAAGCACAGGUUACAAAGACCCUGCAAACUUCUCCCUUAGCCCACUGCUCCCUUCCAACAUAGCCUCAGACUCAGUUUUACAUCUUCUGUGCCUUCCAGAAUGCUCUCAUCCCUGCAGUCCCCAUGCCAGACUUAACUCCCGUGAGGUUGGAAUGGUGGGGAAUGACUCAGCCUCGGGAUGCUGGCAGAAUCAAGCCUGAUGUACUGUAUCACUCCAGCAAGAUGUGAUUUCAAUAGGGUGACCACUGGUAAAUAAACCGGCCCCUUGCUUGUCCAGAGUUUCCUGAUGGGUUCUAGCAUUUUGGCAAAAUUUCCUGCAGAGCCUUGAGCUGUGAUUCCAUUUUAAAAUUAAGUCCUUUGAAAAUGGCUUUUGGCCAGUAAGAUCUACUUCUCUGAUGAAGAAGGGAUAUAUGCAAUUACUUGUAUCAAAUACCUCUCUUGAUAUUUGAUAAAUACUAAUUGAAUUGAAAGAAGGGGAGAGAUAUACAAAAAAAAAAAAUACAAUCGCUCGUUAGCACGCUUCUCAUUGGUGUGUUUCUGGCACAUAACCCACUCCUCUCGGACCACCUCCAUCAACAGGACCCCAGGGGGUGUGCCUCCCCAGGUCCUGCUCUCUCCUCUGCCCUUAACUCACAUGCUUUUUGAGGAGGGUGGGGGUGAGGAGUAGAGGGAGGAUCUCUAAGAGAAGGGGUUUAAUGAAGUUGCAGGGAAUUAGAGAAAAUAUUGGUAGGAUGGAAUACCGUGGCAAUCUUCAUUCUCGCUCCUCCACUCACACCUCCCGCUGCUUCCUUGGAACAUGGUAGAAUACCUUACCCUCACUGUAGGAAAGAAAAUCAUAAGAUGAAAAGAAACCGCAUGGAGAGCAGGCAUUUAAAGAGUGGAAGGCUUCUCUGUUGCAGGUGCACUCUCAGGGGGAUGGAGUUACCUGUCGUGGCCGGGAGCUAGACCACAGCUUCCCUGCGCUGUGAGCUCCCAACCCCUUCUCCAGUGAGGUCCCAGCUGCCACUGCCCUUGAGCAGGAUUGCUCCUGGAUUCGCUUUCUAUCCAGGGGACAAGGAAUUUCACUGCCAUCACCAUCGGGUGGUACAAGCACAGAGCCAGGGGAGUGCUAGUGGGAAUCUGGGCUUAUAAGACCUUCCACUGAGGGUCUGCGCCUGUAGCUUGACUCUCCUCAUUAACACACAGGAGGACAUUUCACCUAAGACUCAGAUUCCCCGUCUGCAAAAAUGAGACCAGUAAUACAUACCUCAUACGACUGUAGUUGAAGGGAUUUUGUGAAAUGUGUUUGAAAGCACACUUUGUAUCAAAAGAUAAACCAUAAUGGAAAAGAAUAUAAAAAAAGAACGUCUCUAUGUGUAUAACUGAGUCACUUUGCUGUACAGGAGAGAUUGCCACAGCAUUGUAAAUCAACUCUACUUCAACAAAACAAAGUAUAAUACAAAUGCUAGUUACCAUUGUCACAAAGAUAACAUACACACACACCACACAAUUUUUUAAACUUUACUGUAGAAAUUAACAUACCGUAAAAUUGGUUUGUGUGUGUGUGUGUGUGUGUGUACAUUUCUAUGACUUGCGAUACAUUUAUAGAUUUGUGUAACCAUCACCACAGUGAGAAUAUAGAAGAAUAUCAUUGCCUCAUUCAUUCACUGAAGGACAUUUAGUCGUGCUGUGUUAUUAUUGUACUACAUCGCUGGAUUCAAGUUGCUAAUAUUUUGUUGAGAAUUUUACAUCUUUGUUCAUGAGAGAUAUGGAUCUGAAGUUUUAUUUUCUUGUAAUGUCUUCAUCUGGUUUCAGUAUCAGUGUUAAUUUUGGCCCCAUCAAAUAAGCGGGGAAGUGUUUCUUCCUCUUCUCUUUGCCCUUAUUUCUUCUUGAAAUGUUGGUUAUAAUUUACCAGUGAGACCAUCUGGGCCUGGAGAUUUCUGUUUUCUUUUUUCUUUUUGGCCACACUGCGCAGCAUGCAGGAUCUUGUUCCCCCACCAGGGAUCGAACCCGCGCCCCCUGCAGUGGAAACACGGAGUCUUAACCACUGGACUGCCAGGGAAGUCUCAAGAUUUCUUCUUCAAACUUUUUUUUUUAAUUAAUUAAUUAAUUAAUUUAUGGCUGCAUUGGGUCUUCGUUGCUGCGCGUGGGCUUUCUCUAGUUGCGGCGAGCAGGGGCUACUCUUCGUUGUGGUGUGCAGGCUUCUCAUUGCGGUGGCUUCUCUUGCUGCGGAGCAUGGGCUCUAGGCGCGCGGGCUUCAGUAGUUGUGGCAUGUGGGCUCAGUAGUUGUGGCUCACGGGCUCUAGAGCGCAGGCUCAGUAGUUGUGGCACAGGGGCUUAGUUGCUCUGAGGCAUGUGGGAUCUCCCCGGACCAGGGCUCAAACCCAUGUCCCCUGCAUUGGCAGGCGGAUUCUUUACCACUGAGCCACCAGAGAAAUCCAUGGCAGGUGGAUUCUUAACCACUGCGCCCCCCGGGAAGUCCCCUCAAAUGGUUUUAAAACUAUUGGUUCAAUGUCUUUAGUCAUUAUAGGACUAUUCAGAUUAUCUAUUUCAUCAUGACUGAACUGAUAGUUUGUGGUUUCUGAGAAAUUGGUCCAAGUCACCUAAAUUGUCAGACUUGUGUGUGUAGAGUUGUUCAUAGUACUUCCCUUAUUAUCUCUUUAAUGUCUACAGGGUCUAUAGUGAUAUCUCUCUUUUAUUCCUGAUGUUGGUAAUUUGUGUCUUCUGUCCUUUUUAAACUAGACGUUUAUCAAUUUUAUUGAUCUUUUCCAAGAACCAUCUUUUGGUUUCACUGAUUUUUCCCUAUUGUUUUUCUGUUUUCAUCUUUAUUGAUAUCUGCUCUUUUUGUUUGUUUGUUUUUGAAGCAUCUCUUUUUUAAAAAAAUUAUUUUAUUUAUUUAUUUUUGGCUGUGUUGGGUCUUUGUUGCUGUGCGCGGGCUUUCUCUAGUUGCAGCUAGGGGGGGCUACUCUUUGUUGCAGUGUGCAGGCUUCUCAUUGCGGUGGCUUCUCUUGUUGCGGAGCACAGGCUCUAGGCACACGGGCUUCAGUAGUUGUGGCAUGUGGGCUCAGUAGUUGUGGCAUGCGGGCUUCAGUAGUUGCAGCUCACAGGCUCUAGAGCACAGGCUCAGUAGUUGUGGCGCACGGGUUUAGUUGCUCCACGGCAUGUGGGAUCUUCCCGGACCAGGGCUCCAACCCGUGUCCCCUGCAUUGGCAGGCGGAUUCUUAACCACUGUGCCACCAGGAAAGCCCUGAUAUCUGCUCUUAUUUUGUUAUUUCCUUCUUUCGGCUUGCUUUGGAUUGAUUUUGCUCUUCUUGGUCUAGUUUCCUAAGGUAUAAGCUUGGAUGAUUGAUUUGUUAUCUUUCUUCUUUUCUACUAUAAGCAUUUAAUCCCAUAAGUUUCCCUCUAAGCACUGCUGUAAGUACAUCCCAUAAAUUUUGAUAUGUUAUAUUUUCAUUUUCAUUUGGCUCAAAAUAUUUUCUAAUUUUCCUUGAGACUUCCUCUCUGACUAAUGGAUUAUUUUUAAGUGUUUUAUUUAAUUUCCAAGAGUGUAGAGAUUUUCUCACAUAUGCUUCUAUGACCAUUAAACCUAGGAAUACUGCAGAAAUCUUAAAAAGCCGUUAGUUUUUGUGUGUGUGUGUGUGGUACGCGGGCCUCUCACUGUUGUGGCCCCUCCCGUUGCGGAGCACAGGCUCCGGACGCGCAGGCUCAGCGGCCAUGGCUCACGGGCCCAGCCGCUCCGCGGCAUGUGGGAUCCUCCCGGACCGGGGCACGAAUCUGCGUCCCCUGCAUCAGCAGGCGGACUCGCAACCACUGCUGCACCAGGGAAGCCCCAAAAGCCGUUAGUUUUAAAACUCAAUAACUUAUUGAACACCUCCUGUGUGCAAGGCACUAGGCUAGGUACUGUUUUGGGUCCAAGGCUGCAUGAGAUUUAAUUCCAGCCUUCAAGGAAUUGACUGUCUAGGAGGGAAGCCAAGACUUUGGCAAAUAAGUGGGAUGCAUGGUGGUCGGUGAUACAUGCUUCUGCGUGAUGCAGAGCAGCACGGCAGUGGGGGUCUCUUCCAGCUGAGGUGGUCAAGGUCAAGAGUGUGAGGUGGACCUUGAAAAUGGGUACGAUUUCUACAGUGAUGGUCUUAGGGAAGGCCAUUUCUAGUUAGACAGAACUUUGCUUGGCAGUGGCAGUAGCUCCUGCCCUGUGGGCACCUCUACUCCCGUGCCCAACUGAGCCUGCUGCCACUUGGCACACUUGACCUGCUCAGUCCACACGUGUCUGGGGAAUGGACUCGUGAGACUCACUAGACUGAGGGUCUUCUAAAGGUUGGAGGCAGCUCCCAGCGCCUUUAGAGAAAGGGGUAUUGUUGUGUGUUUUCUGGGCCAGCAGAGGUAAAGGUGGGGGUGAUAAAAAUAAAAACGAAGAUCAAAAGAGUAUUCUACCUCCAUCCUGCAAACUCACAGACAGAGCUGGUCCUUCAGCUUUGUCAGAAAUUGAGUUAAGGACGUGGAAGUCAAGGACUCGAGACAAUCGAGCGACUCAUUGGCAGACCCUGGAACACGCUGCCAGGUUGUGACCGUGAGUCAGAUUACCUUUGGGAUUCUGGCCUCUCUGGCCCACAGAAGCCAGGAAAUGCUGGAGUCGCUGAAGCCAGAGAAGAGUAGAAUGACAAGGGGUGGGAAAGAAAACAUUUGUUUCAGGCCGGAGGUCUCCAGCUCAUUGAAGAAACAGAGGGGAAAAUGUGAGGUGAAAAUAGCUCCCAUCCCUUCCAGACACCUGAGAGGUCAACCAACAAGAAAGACUUCUGGAGAAACUGAGAAUUAACAGCCAUAAGUCCUCAUAACCACGUCUUUUUCAUUCUUCCUGAAGUUUCCAGUCAUAUUUCACUUCCUUUCCCAUUUUUCUUUAAAAGAUGAUUCGCAGGGUCUGCUUUCAGCACAUAAAAACAAAACAAAACCAAGGUUUCUGAAAAUUUGGAAUUUGCAUUUUUUCCAUCAAUUUAUUUUGCACUUGCAUAUUUUGUUUUUACUGAAGAAUGACUGUACAUGUGUUGGUGAUUUAACAAGAAGGAAAUACUUGUUUUAAGUCUUCUAGCAAAGACUAAAAUAACUAGAUUUAAUUUUAUUAAAAAAAUUGUUUUUAAAGAAAA